UACGGGGGGGAGCAAGCGUUGUUCGGAAUUACUGGGCGUAAAGGGUUCGUAGGUGCCAACUAAGUCAGACGUGAAAUCCCUCAGCUCAACUGGGGAACUGCGUCUGAUACUGGUCGGCUUGAGUGCAGGAGAGGAACGCGGAAUUCCAGGUGUAGCGGUGAAAUGCGUAGAUAUCUGGAGGAACACCGGUGGCGAAGGCGGCGUUCUGGACUGCAACUGACACUGAGGAACGAAAGCCAGGGGAGCAAACGGG
rnacentral:rRNA from 1 species